GUGCUUGUUCUGGCAGCACAUAAACUAAAAUUGGAACAAUGCAGAGAUGAGCGUGGCCCCUGUGCAAAAAUGUCAUACAAAUUCAUGAAUCAUUGUGGUCUUUU
ensembl:snRNA U6 U6 spliceosomal RNA